CCUGAGACUUAAAGUCUCCUGAAGGAACGUUGAAGACGACGACGUUGAUAGGCCGGGUGUGUAAGCGCAGCGAUGCGUUGAGCUAACCGGUACUAAUGAACCGUGAGGCUUAACCUU
rnacentral:rRNA from 1 species